rnacentral:rRNA from 1 species
UACGGAGGGGGCGAGCGUUGUUCGGAAUCACUGGGUGUAAAGGGUGCGUAGGCGGUCCGAUAAGUCUGAUGUGAAAGCCCUGGGCUCAACUCAGGAACUGCAUUGGAAACUGACGGACUGGAGUACCGGAGAGGGAAGCGGAAUUCCUGGUGUAGCGGUGAAAUGCGUAGAUACCAGGAGGAACACCGGUGGCGAAGGCGGUUUCCUGGCCGAGUACUGACGGCUGAGGCAC